rnacentral:rRNA from 1 species
AUUGAACGCUGGCGGCAGGCCUAACACAUGCAAGUCGAACGCGUGGCGGACGGGUGAGUAAUGUCUGGGAAACUGCCCGAUGGAGGGGGAUAACUACUGGAAACGGUCGCUAAUACCGCAUACCCUCGGAUGCCCCCAGAUGGGAUUAGCUAGUAGGUGGGGUAAGGGCUCACCGAGGCGACGAUCCCUAGCUGGUCUGAGAGGAUGACCAGCCACACUGGGACUGAGACACGGUCCAGACUCCUACGGGAGGCAGCAGUGGGGAAUAUUGCACAAUGGGCGCAAGCCUGAUGCAGCCAUGCCGCGUGUAUGAAGAAGGCCUUCGGGUUGGAAAGUACUUUCAGCGGGGAGGCGUUACUCGCAGAAGAAGCACCGGCUAACUCCGUGCCAGCAGCCGCGGUAAUUC